AGUGUGAUUGCUGGAUCAUAUGGUUAAGCUAGGUUUUAGCUUUGUGAAAAACUGCCAAACUGUCUUCCAAAGUGGCUGUACCAUUUGUAUUCUCACCAGCAAU
rnacentral:pre_miRNA from 1 species